rnacentral:lncRNA from 1 species
GCUAGAUGUGGAAGCCAAUAGAUCACACACUUAUAGAAUUAUUAUCAAAGACUUAAGAUUAGUAGCUUAUUUAAUUUGGGCCUUGGAGGGCCUAUUUGGAUAAAGUACUAAGGUUAUGGAUUUAUAUGAAAUCCUAGAGGAUUUUACAUAAGCAUGCUAGCACAUGUCAAAUCCUAACUAAGCCCUUAAGAGCUCGAACAGUCAAAGAGUUGAUGCCAAG